UAGCGAUAUAGCUUAAUUGGUAAAGCACUGGUCUCAUAAGCCAGAAGUUGAAAUGCCUGUACUGAACUUGAUUCAGUAUCUAAGAUUUCUAUC
rnacentral:tRNA from 1 species